GACAAGUCCAAAUUCUUCUAUAACCCAAAACAAUAACAAAGAAUUCUUCAGCAACUAAAAUAAUUGGAACUCUCUCACAAUCACGUAAUCCACUUCCAAAGAGUGGUUCGUUUCUUUAAAAGCUGGAAGGGAUUAGGGAGCACGGUUUAUCCCCUCCGUGUCCCCUUGUCUACGGAGAGAGCCAUCCAAGAUAAGAAAAGUAGAAUUGAGAUUUGAAACUUAGGAGAAAAACGAUUGGAAAGAAGAGAAAAACAAUUCCGUCAAUAAAAGGAAUAUACCUGUGACGAAAAGCAGCGCAGAAUCCAUAAACAAAUCUAGGGAAGGAGACUGAAGCUUUUUGGAGGGAAAUAAUGCAACUUUGUUCUCCGCGCAAGAGACAGAAGAGACGCAGAGACGGAGUGAAAAAGGACCAACUGCGGAGCGCUGAUGCGUUUUUGGUCAUCGUUCUUCUUUUUGAG
rnacentral:lncRNA from 1 species